rnacentral:rRNA from 1 species
GACGAACGCUGGCGGCGCGCUUAACACAUGCAAGUCGAGCGAGAACCGGGCCUUCGGGCCUGGGGACAGCGGCGAACGGGUGAGUAACACGUGGGUAACCUGCCCUCGGCACCGGGAUAGCUCGGGGAAACCCGGAUUAAUACCGGACGGUCUCCGGAGCCUUCGGGCGCCGGAGAAAGGGUGGCUUCGGCUUCCGGCCGGGGGUGGGCCGGCGGCGGAUUAGCUUGUUGGCGGGGUAACGGCCCACCAAGGCGACGAUCCGUAGCUGGUCUGAGAGGACGAUCAGCCACACUGGGACUGAGACACGGCCCAGACUCCUACGGGAGGCAGCAGUGGGGAAUUCUGGACAAUGGGCGAAAGCCUGAUCCAGCCAUGCCGCGUGCAGGAUGAAGGCCUUCGGGUUGUAAACUGCUUUUGUACGGAACGAAAAGGUUUGGCCUAAUAAGCUGAGCUCGUGACGGUACCGUAAGAAUAAGCACCGGCUAACUACGUGCCAGCAGCCGCCGUAA